rnacentral:rRNA from 2 species
AUAGGGGAGCCGUAGGGAAACCGAGUCUUAACCGGGCGUUAAGUUGCAGGGUAUAGACCCGAAACCCGGUGAUCUAGCCAUGGGCAGGUUGAAGGUUGGGUAACACUAACUGGAGGACCGAACCGACUAAUGUUGAAAAAUUAGCGGAUGACUUGUGGCUGGGGGUGAAAGGCCAAUCAAACCGGGAGAUAGCUGGUUCUCCCCGAAAGCUAUUUAGGUAGCGCCUCGUGAAUUCAUCUUCGGGGGUAGAGCACUGUUUCGGCUAGGGGGUCAUCCCGACUUACCAACCCGAUGCAAACUGCGAAUACCGGAGAAUGUUAUCACGGGAGACACACGGCGGGUGCUAACGUCCGUCGUGAAGAGGGAAACAACCCAGACCGCCAGCUAAGGUCCCAAAGUCAUGGUUAAGUGGGAAACGAUGUGGGAAGGCCCAGACAGCCAGGAUGUUGGCUUAGAAGCAGCCAUCAUUUAAAGAAAGCGUAAUAGCUCACUGGUCGAGUCGGCCUGCGCGGAAGAUGUAACGGGGCUAAACCAUGCACCGAAGCUGCGGCAGCGACACUGUGUGUUGUUGGGUAGGGGAGCGUUCUGUAAGCCUGCGAAGGUGGCCUGUGAGGGUUGCUGGAGGUAUCAGAAGUGCGAAUGCUGACAUAAGUAACGAUAAAGCGGGUGAAAAGCCCGCUCGCCGGAAGACCAAGGGUUCCUGUCCAACGUUAAUCGGGGCAGGGUGAGUCGACCCCUAAGGCGAGGCCGAAAGGCGUAGUCGAUGGGAAACAGGUUAAUAUUCCUGUACUUGGUGUUACUGCGAAGGGGGGACGGAGAAGGCUAUGUUGGCCGGGCGACGGUUGUCCCGGUUUAAGCGUGUAGGUGUGUGUUCCAGGUAAAUCCGGUUCACUUUAACACUGAGGCGUGAUGACGAGGCACUACGGUGCUGAAGCAACAAAUGCCCUGCUUCCAGGAAAAGCCUCUAAGCAUCAGGUAACAUCAAAUCGUACCCCAAACCGACACAGGUGGUCAGGUAGAGAAUACCAAGGCGCUUGAGAGAACUCGGGUGAAGGAACUAGGCAAAAUGGUGCCGUAACUUCGGGAGAAGGCACGCUGACA